rnacentral:tRNA from 1 species
GCCCAGCAGGGUGUUGGCCUGUUUCGGGCUCUCGGUCAGCCAGUGGUCCAGCGGAUCGCGCAUCAGCUGUUCGACCAGUCGCUGGGCG